GACGAACGCUGGCGGCGUGCCUAAUACAUGCAAGUCGAGCGGAACUGGGGGAGCUUGCUCCUUCCAGUUUAGCGGCGGACGGGUGAGUAACACGUGGGCAACCUGCCCUGCAGACCGGGAUAACUCCGGGAAACCGGUGCUAACACCGAAUAGUUUGGCGCCUCUCCUGAGGCGCUACGGAAAGACGGUUUCGGCUGUCACUGCAGGAUGGGCCCGCGGCGCAUUAGCUAGUUGGUGGGGUAACGGCCCACCAAGGCGACGAUGCGUAGCCGACCUGAGAGGGUGACCGGCCACACUGGGACUGAGACACGGCCCAGACUCCUACGGGAGGCAGCAGUAGGGAAUCUUCCGCAAUGGACGCAAGUCUGACGGAGCAACGCCGCGUGAGUGACGAAGGUUUUCGGAUCGUAAAACUCUGUUGUGAGGGAAGAACACGUACCAACUAACUAUUGGUACCUUGACGGUACCUCACCAGAAAGCCACGGCUAACUACGUGCCAGCCGCCGCAGUAA
rnacentral:rRNA from 1 species